UUUCCGUAAGUGAACCUGCGGAAGGAUCAUUAUUGUAUAACCGAGGUGCGAGGGCUGUCGCUGACCCGAAAGGUCGUGCACGCCCGAGUGCCCUCACACACAUCCAUCUCACCCCUAUGUGCACCACCGCGUGGGUCCCCCUUUGGCUUGGUCGGAGGGGGGCUUACGUUUUCACACAAACUUUGUAUGCAGUGUAGAAUGUAUUUUUUGUUUUUGCGAUCACGCAAUCAAUACAACUUUCAACAACGGAUCUCUUGGCUCUC
rnacentral:misc_RNA from 1 species